CACACACACACACACACACACACACACACACACACACACACACACACACACACACACACACACACACACACACGUUUAAUUACAUUUCUGUCAUUUACAGCCAAUAAUAAUCAUGUGCAUACGCUAAGUGGUCUGAACAGUAACAUGCAACUGGGCUGAUUGCAUGCAUUUUCUAUCAGUCAAUCAAUCAAUCAAUCAAUGAAAUGUAUUUAUGAAGUCCUUUUUACAUCAGCCGAUGUCACAAAGUGCUAUACAGAAACCCACCCCAAAACCCCAAACAGCAAGCAAUGCAGAUGUAGAAGUUAUUGAGUAAAUAUGGUGAGAGCAAAGGAAGAGGGGGAAGGUGCCUGUUGAAGUACAGAUAGAGGGCCGUGGUGAUGUUGAAGUGCAGAUAGAGGGCCGCGGUGGUGUUGAAGUACAGAUAGAGGGCCGUGGUGAUGUUGAAGUGCAGAUAGAGGGCCGCGGUGAUGUUGAAGUGCAGGUAGAGGGCCAUGGUGGUGUUGAUGUGCAGAUAGAGGGCCGUGGUGGUGUUGAAGUGCAGAUAGAGGGCCCUGGUGGUGUUGAUGUGCAGAUAGAGGGCCGCGGUGGUGUUGAAGUGCAGAUAGAGGGCCGUGGUGGUGUUGAAGUGCAGAUAGAGGGCCGUGGUGGUGUUGAAGUGCAGAUAGAGGGCCGUGGUGGUGUUGAAGUGCAGAUAGAGGGCCCUGGUGGUGUUGAAGUGCAGAUAGAGGGCCCUGGUGGUGUUGAAGUGCAGAUAGAGGGCCCUGGUGGUGUUGAAGUGCAGAUAGAGGGCCGUGGUGGUGUUGAAGUGCAGAUAGAGGGCCGUGGUGGUGUUGAAGUGCAGAUAGAGGGCCGUGGUGGUGUUGAAGUGCAGAUAGAGGGCCGUGGUGACCAAGAUCAGCAGCACUACUACCAGUCUGAUAGUGAAAGCUGUCAUAGGAGAGGCUGCAACAGAAACACAUUUGAUAAGGAAGUGGAUUGAUUAUCAUGAGAUCCGUCUAGGGAAACUCUGACAAAGUAAAAAGUCUGGUUCGUUCUCAAUUACCU
rnacentral:lncRNA from 1 species